UGUUUUAGCAUGAUUACAAUUAUGUCUGCAAAGAAAAUAUGGACUCUGGCUGUUUGUGUGGAGGAGAGACAAGAGGAGGAGGGAGUAAUUCCCACCUGUUGAUCAGGGGAAACCAAGUCAUGUGGCCUAAAGGCAUAAAUUCAAUUCGUGCCAUGAAGAACCUCGUGGAACCGGGGUGGAAAUGGCUGUCGUUUCCCCUGGUUAAAGUUAAACACCAGUCAAAUAAGAAAGAUGAAUGUGAAGAGUAUGAUUAUACGACUGCCGCAAAUGUCUCAGAUCUGAAUCCGAUUGUUCAGCUUCAACCCAAGGAAAGAGAAUUCCAAAGAAGAGAUUGUUUUCCGACUUCAUUACAGAUCACGAUAGUAUUCAGGACGUGGAGGAAGCUGAUGAUGCAAAUGAUGAAUUACAGAGAUCUGCCAAAUGCCCCAAAAGUGGAUUGAUUUCACGUCUUCCAUCGGUACCAAAAGAGUACAGCCACAUUCAAGGCAUGUUGGACUGGUCGAUUUGGCAAGAUAUUUGGCCUCCUGCAUGGAAGAUCAAUCACCCAUAUGGCAUCCACUCCGGUUCCUUCUCCACCGUCAUCUCCUGACACUUCUGUGACUUGUUCACAAAAGCCAAAGAGACAGUCACACUGGCAGGAAGAAAGCGUGAGGAGGUCAUGUGCCAGCCGUUAGUCGUCAGGGAAAGGUGCGAGCACAAGCAGGAGUCAAGGAUCAUCAAGGGCACCACACCUCCUCAAUGUAGACACUGAUCAACAAUCAGUACAACCCAUUGCCAGUUCAUCUAAACAGAAUGGUUUUCCCAUGUCCGAGGCUCGUUUUCAGAGAAGAGUUUUGUUUCUGCUGACUGAUAUUCGCAAUUCGCUGGAAAGUAUGCAGAAAAAUGCAGGCACUCAACAAUUGGAAAACACUGUGGAAAGAAUAAAUAUUUCACAAGCUGGCAGCUUAGAUGAGUUCCAAGCUAUGGAAACAAAGCUGGAACAAGAAAGCCAUCAAACU